UAUUUAAUUUCUGAAGAUGUCAUCUGUUAGUAAUCCAGUGCUUGUAUUACAUGCAGUCGAAUAUUAGGCAUAUACUGUAUGAUAAAUAAUAUUUAUGACCUAUGAACUUAUUAUGUACAAUACUUUUAUUGUACAGAACCUGGCAAAUACUGAGACACCUGCUCUUCAGCAUCCUCUUCUGGAGAGCCACAUUACACCAUGGGAGGUGUUUGGGUCACUGUCCAGACGAGCUGCUAGGUGAAGGCUACAGGAUGGUCUGUGCAGGAGUUCGUAAUGCAGAUGGAAAGCAGGCUCAACUUGGAGUUUCUCCCCACCUGAGUGGGUGUGUGAUGGAGAGUAUUUGGGUUAUCCUGCCACCAUGUGGAGUCUGGGAGUUCUCCUGUUUAUCCUGGUCUGCGGACACUUGCCCUUUUAUAAUGACAACGAUAUUGUUUACAGGAAGAUGUACUUUGCG